GAGUGGCGAACGGGUGAGUAACGCGUGAGGAACCUGCCUCAAAGAGGGGGACAACAGUUGGAAACGACUGCUAAUACCGCAUAAGCCCACGACCCGGCAUCGGGUAGAGGGAAAAGGAGCAAUCCGCUUUGAGAUGGCCUCGCGUCCGAUUAGCUAGUUGGUGAGGUAAUGGCCCACCAAGGCGACGAUCGGUAGCCGGACUGAGAGGUUGAACGGCCACAUUGGGACUGAGACACGGCCCAGACUCCUACGGGAGGCAGCAGUGGGGAAUAUUGCACAAUGGGGGAAACCCUGAUGCAGCGACGCCGCGUGGAGGAAGAAGGUCUUCGGAUUGUAAACUCCUGUUGUUGAGGAAGAUAAUGACGGUACUCAACAAGGAAGUGACGGCUAACUACGUGCCAGCAGCCGCGGUAAAACGUAGGUCACAAGCGUUGUCCGGAAUUACUGGGUGUAAAGGGAGCGCAGGCGGGAAGACAAGUUGGAAGUGAAAUCCAUGGGCUCAACCCAUGAACUGCUUUCAAAACUGUUUUUCUUGAGUAGUGCAGAGGUAGGCGGAAUUCCCGGUGUAGCGGUGGAAUGCGUAGAUAUCGGGAGGAACACCAGUGGCGAAGGCGGCCUACUGGGCACCAACUGACGCUGAGGCUCGAAAGUGUGGGUAGCAAACAGGAUUAGAUACCCUGGUAGUCCACACUGUAAACGAUGAUUACUAGGUGU
rnacentral:rRNA from 1 species